rnacentral:lncRNA from 1 species
CUCGGGCAUAUCCCGGAUAGAUAUAAUUAAGGGAACGACCCCUUGCCUUUAAACUAACAAAAAUACUACGGCUAAACAUGAACCUAGCGGCAAGCAAUAAAGAAAAGUGAAGUAUUAAAACAUCUAAGGUUCAAUUCCUUUUUCGGCUUUUAACCGAGCACCAUGGCCAAAUUAUUUUCCAUUUCGAUUCCUUUCAAACCGAAUACCAAACUGACUAUGAGUCUAAAAGGCAUAUAUUGACCAUAAUUAUUUGUGCAAAUUGUCACAAUACUGAACAUUCCAGUCAUUUUCCAUUGAAUCAUAUAAUUUCAUUUCAUUUCAAAAUCAGAUUUUCAAUUCAAGAUAUGACAAAUAGGCUUGAGAUUCACAUAAGUCUACCACCAAAAUAUCAUACAAGACAAAAUCAAUAAGUAAAGGGUAAGAUGACGACGGACCUGAGAUGUGCUUCUAAUUAAUGAAACUCUCGCAAUUACACGAAAGGAAGCAACAAUUACGACCGAAAAUUGACACAGAUUCGAACGAAAUCAGCAAAACCGAACCGAAAUUUCGGACUUGAACCUGCAUCAGCAACCUCGGGCAGAAACUCAAAUCGUCUCAGUCGAACUCCAUUUGUUUUUCCGUUUCUUUUCCGUUUUCUGACCAAAGACCUCUCCAGAUAUUUGUUCUCCUCCCCACUAUUUUUUGUCCGUGUGUGCGUUAUUGGUGGUCGAAAAUCGAGCAGCUAGGUUGGCGGGUUUGAGAGGAGUUAAGGUCGUUUUCCGG